rnacentral:tRNA from 1 species
GGGCCCGUAGCUCAAUUGGCAGAGCGUCAGCCUUUUAAGCUGAGCGUUGUGGGUUCGAGUCCCACCGGGCUCA